GGGGAUUAGUGGCGAACGGGUGAGUAACACGUGGGCAAUCUGCCCUGCACUCUGGGAUAAGCCCGGGAAACUGGGUCUAAUACCGGAUACGACACAUGAGGGCAUCCUCGUGUGUGGAAAGUUCCGGCGGUGCAGGAUGAGCCCGCGGCCUAUCAGCUUGUUGGUGGGGUAGUGGCCUACCAAGGCGACGACGGGUAGCCGGCCUGAGAGGGUGACCGGCCACACUGGGACUGAGACACGGCCCAGACUCCUACGGGAGGCAGCAGUGGGGAAUAUUGCACAAUGGGCGAAAGCCUGAUGCAGCGACGCCGCGUGAGGGAUGACGGCCUUCGGGUUGUAAACCUCUUUCAGCAGGGAAGAAGCGAAAGUGACGGUACCUGCAGAAGAAGCACCGGCUAACUACGUGCCAGCAGCCGCGGUAAUACGUAGGGUGCAAGCGUUGUCCGGAAUUAUUGGGCGUAAAGAGCUCGUAGGCGGCCUGUCGCGUCGAUUGUGAAAGCCCAGGGCUUAACCCUGGGUCUGCAGUCGAUACGGGCAGGCUAGAGUUCGGUAGGGGAGAUCGGAAUUCCUGGUGUAGCGGUGAAAUGCGCAGAUAUCAGGAGGAACACCGGUGGCGAAGGCGGAUCUCUGGGCCGAUACUGACGCUGAGGAGCGAAAGCGUGGGGAGCGAACAGGAUUAGAUACCCUGGUAGUCCACGCCGUAAACGGUGGGCACUAGGUGUGGGCAACAUUCCACGUUGUCCGUGCC
rnacentral:rRNA from 2 species